AUGAACAAAGCUGGAUGCCUCGCCUUCGUCAAAUCGGUACUAAGCGCGAUCCCCAUCCACCAGCUCCUUGUGCUUGCGCCGCCAAAUAAGAUCCUCAAGCUCCUAGAGAAAAUUCAACGAGGAUUCCUAUGGGCGGGCCGCACAGAGGCGCACGGUGGCCACUGUCACGUUAACUGGCAACGCGUCUGCCGCCCAACUCGCCUUGGUGGACUUGGAGUGCAUGACCUGGAGCGCACGGGACCGGCCCUGCGUACCAGAUGGCUUUGGUUCGCCCGCACAGACGACACUCGGGCAUGGUCUGGCCUCGACCUCCAAUUCAAUGCUACGGAGCGCGCCUUCUUCUUCGCGUCCACCACCAUGAUCCUCGGCGACGGCCAGCGCGCAUUGUUCUAG
rnacentral:rRNA from 1 species